GCGGCCGGGCCGGAGGACGGAGAGCCUCGGGGCGGCUUCUCGGGGGGCUCCCUCGGGGAACCGCCGCGCGGCACCUGCGCAUGCCCGAGCGGGGACGGGGGUGCCCGAGCGACGGGGCUGCGAGUUCGAGUCCCGCGGCGUCCACGGCGGGCGAGCGGCGUUGUCCGUCCGUCCCCGUGCGGCUGAGGCCGGCGCGGGCCAAGCGUGCGCCCUGACAGGCGGCCGGUGAGCCGGGCACGGCCGCCCCGGGAGUUUGUCCGAGCCCCGAGACGGCUCGGGAAUCCUCCAUCCCGCUCCCUUCGCUCAGAUAACCCCGUCAGUUCCCGGGCCGGCGGCAGACGACCACCCGGCCGCUGUCUGACGCGCCCUGGAGCUGCAUCCCCGGCUCGCCCGUGGGUUGGCAGGGACCCCAGCCCGGCCUGGUGCUGCCUCCUCCCGGGGUGUGCGUUAGCAGGAGGCUGGACUCGAACCCACGCAGCACUGUGCUGAGGCAUUCAGGCUCUCUCCCGCCCGGGGUGCCCACUGGGGCGCGACCUCCCCGCGGGGGUCGUGGGGCGAGCCUGGGCCAGCUCCCCUGACCUUGACUUGUGUUCCAGGAAGCCGGCUGGGGUCCCCGGCACUUCUGGUGGGGCCAAGAUGAAAGAGAAGCGAGGCCGAGGGGGAAGAGUGGUCGAGUCCCGGUACUUGCAGUAUGAGAAGAAAGCCCCCAGAAAGGCUCCUGCGGCUGACACCUCCAGGUGUGGCGGGAAAGCCCCCGACAGCGGGAGGAAGGCUGGCGUUCUGCAGCAGAGCCGAGGUGUGCGGGGUCAGGGGCGGCAGGGGUGGUGGCCUUGGGCUCGCUGGAGGAGCCACGGGGAGCCUCUGGGAAAGGUGUGUGUGCCAAGAGCAGCUGUGCCCCUUGGGCGUCGCACCAGGGGCCUUGCCUGGCCUG